GCAGAUACGCCCACGUGCACAGGACGAGUGCGCCGCCGAGCCCCGGGCUGCUCCUGCCCAGGGUGUGCAUUUGAACUGCAAAGCUUUAAAUAAGAAAAGUAAACUUGGGACUUGAAGCAAGAGUGCACGCUUGCGGGGCUUCAACCCCGGUGGGCUGUGUGCACUACUCCGUGCAUAACGCGCCAGAGGGGUCGCCAAGCAGGAAGCCUGGGCGAACGUUUUACUCCUUAAUUGGGAAGAUGGGGCCCAUACCCACACCCCUCGGGAGGUUACAGAGGGAACUUGCACAGGGAAAAUGAGCGUGGGGGCGCGGAAACACACUCUACAGCACGGAAUCCCACCCAGACGGUGCACGUUCAAUUUUAAAUGUGACUGUCCAAGUAGAGUCAGUUUGGGGAAGCUCGAUGAAAAGUGAACGUAUGGGUAUUUUACGCAUGAAAUCUGUUCAAACUGGCAUAGGACUCUAGUGUCGGGGUGUCCCCGCUGUGGGAGGUUCCUCUGGAGAUCUCUAGCUCUAGGUGGCCCCCAUAACCUACCCAGUCUCAACUCCUAAGGGGUUAACCCAAGCGGAUUCCGAGGGGCCACACAGCCCCCUACACCCCGUUACUCUCACCCACUCCGAUCCUUGUCGGAGACCCUCGCCCCUCAGCCCACCCACGUGAGUCCGUGGCCCCUUACCUGCGGUCCAGGGACGCCGGCCUCCUGUGAAGCUGGAGUGUCUGUCUGCCCCCGCACGUGUUCGCCCCGCGGAGCAGGUCCUCGUAAGCUUCAAGAGAGCAAGACUUUGGUGGUUCAAACCCAGGCUCUGUCACUAGUUAGCUUUGUGUGCUUGGAUUGGAACCAGUCCAGUUGUCAUCUGAGAGGCUUCCUCCAUCAUGGAGGAGAUGGAGAUAGAACAACCACUGUCAGGUGGAAUACUAUGAGCUCCAGAUUCAGGAAGCCAAGACGGGAGUGUUGUGCCUGGGAAAAUUAGGACAACCCUGACUCAAAGAAACAAAAGAAACUGAAGCAAGAGGACAAACAGCAAAACAGCAUGCAUGUAAAACAGUCCCUGUCUGGAUGGACCUGCGCCUGCAGCGGGAAGUUCACUGGUCAAUUACCUGCUGACUGAAGCGGCCUAUUUUCUUCUGACCCCUGCCCCUCUCUUCCCCUCUCCGCCCUGAAAGCUGUUUGGCAUAGGGAGGUCUUGACCUGAGGAAACCAUUUUGGGUAACCAGGGCAAGGAAGGGGAAUAUGCAACACCUAGGAGAUUUCAGCAAACAGUAGAAUCAUGCCAACGUAAUCUGUGUUAAAAUGCUUGGAAUGUGGGAGCCGCUGGUGAUGUCUGUUGUCUGUGUGUCUCCAGGAAUCCUUUCUUUUUUAAGCGCAGCAAAGCCAAGCCUGGGAACCAGGCCAAGCGCCUGCCACUUACCUUAAAUUGAUCAGCCACUUUGAGAUUAAAACCCCUGAAAGCUGCCGCUCAGUGAAAGCAAGGCCUCUUUCACAUUAAAGGCAAAUUGCGACUGUG
rnacentral:lncRNA from 1 species